rnacentral:rRNA from 1 species
ACGGGUGAGUAACGCGUGGGAAUCUACCCAUCUCUACGGAACAACUCCGGGAAACUGGAACUAAUACCGUAUACGUCCUCUUGGAGAAAGAUUUAUCGGAGAUGGAUGAGCCCGCGUUGGAUUAGCUAGUUGGUGGGGUAAUGGCCUACCAAGGCGACGAUCCAUAGCUGGUCUGAGAGGAUGAUCAGCCACACUGGGACUGAGACACGGCCCAGACUCCUACGGGAGGCAGCAGUGGGGAAUAUUGGACAAUGGGCGCAAGCCUGAUCCAGCCAUGCCGCGUGAGUGAUGAAGGCCCUAGGGUUGUAAAGCUCUUUCAACGGUGAAGAUAAUGACGGUAACCGUAGAAGAAGCCCCGGCUAACUUCGUGCCAGCAGCCGCGGUAAUACGAAGGGGGCUAGCGUUGUUCGGAAUUACUGGGCGUAAAGCGCACGUAGGCGGAUACUUAAGUCAGGGGUGAAAUCCCGGGGCUCAACCCCGGAACUGCCUUUGAUACUGGGUAUCUCGAGUCCGGAAGAGGUGAGUGGAAUUCCGAGUGUAGAGGUGAAAUUCGUAGA